rnacentral:lncRNA from 1 species
CGGGGCUCAAGUCAUUUUAGAGUGCCAAGUCCAAACUGCAGUUUAAUAAACUCCCUUGUGCACUUUACAUUGUUGGUCAUCGUUUCAUCCUUGGGAUUGAUUCACCCGGCACUUCACCCCAAACACCAGAAAGAAGAAAACAUAUGCCAGGAAGAAUUCAAGGGUGAAGGAGAGUUUAUUAUCAGCAGAAGAGCAUUCCAAAGGACAAAGUGGAAAGGAAAGGUAGGUAAGAAUAAGAACCCAGGAGGGUAAGGACUGAGUUUACUAUUAGAGAAGGUGAAGUGCUGGGGUAGGUGGGGAGAGUCAUGACCCCUCAGCUGAUCCUGGACUGAUCUGGGGUGACCCAUGCAGGUGGCACUAGUCCUCAGACCAGAUAAUCUGCUUCCAGAGGAUGGCAGGAUCCAGCUUCCUUCCAACAGUCAGAGGAAAGAGAAGUGAGUUCAAGCUGCUGGGCUUCCAACUGUCCCCUCUUCAAGAUUCUAUUGGAAUCUCAUCUCUUCCUUACUUUAUGGACAAGGCAUCUGAUCACUCUGGAGUCCUUGUCUGCUUCCUAGAGAUACUGUGAGGACAAGUAAGAUCAUCCUGGAAAAGAGGGGGAAAAUUUUCAGCCUCUGAGAAGAGUGAACUAAACCAAGGAUUUAUUAGUGGUAGCAGAACAUUAUUAUUAUUGUUUCCAGUAAGAAGGUUAAGACAAAUGAGUAAUUUUGCAACCUACCAUUUUGGAGAAAGGAUGUGGACAUUUGAAAGCUUAAAAAAAAUGAUUCAAACACCUCUUUCAAAGCAGAAGAAAGAGAACUGACUUUGUUAGAUAAUAUCCCCAGGAGCCCCAAAACUGCUUUUACUACUGAUUCCCAAGAUUGGUGAAGGAGAAAUGGAGCAGUAGAAUCAUAGAAUCUUAGAUCUAGAGUUGAAGGAAAUUCCAGGGCCAGCUAGUUUAACUCCCUCAUGUCAUAUUGCAUCCCAAUUCUAAGAAUCACAAAAGUUCAGAAGUAAAAGGAACUUCAGAGGCCAUCUUAUUCAACCCCUAUCUGAGCAAGAAUUUGUUUUACACCAUUGCCAAGAAAUCAUUAUCAAACCUUUAGAUGAAUACCUCUAAGGAGAAGAAAUCCACUAUUUUCUUCCUUUUCAUCUUUCCUUUCCUUUUUCUUUCUCCCUUCCUUCCUUCCUUCCUUUUUCUUUCUUUCUUUCUCUAUCUCUCUCUUUCUUCCUUCUCUGUCUCCUUUUUUUAGGGAUAUGUUUACAACAUGAACAAUAUGGAAAUAAGUUUUGAAUGAUAUAACAUAUCAAAUUGUUUACCUUCUUCAUUUUCUUGGUCAUGUGAAUGAAUAAAUAAGUAUAUAAAAUCA